GGUUUGUGGCUCAGUGGUAGAGCACUCUACCAGAAAGUGUGAGGCACUGUGUUCAAUCCUCAGUACCA
rnacentral:tRNA from 1 species